GACGAACGCUGGCGGCGUGCUUAACACAUGCAAGUCGAACGGAAAGGCCCUGCUUUUGUGGGGUGCUCGAGUGGCGAAAGGGUGAGUAACACGUGAGUAAACCGCCCUUGAAUUUGGGAUAACUUCAGGAAACUGGGGCUAAUACCGGGAAGGAGCUCUUGCUGCAUGGUGGGGGAUGGAAAAUUUCGGCGGUUGGGGAUGGACUCGCGGCUUAUCAGCUUGUUGGUUGGGUAGUGGCUUACCAAGGUUUCGACGGAUAGACGGCCUGAGAGGGUAACCGGCCUCAUUAGGACUGAGGUACGGCCCAGUCGGCUACGGGAGGCAGCAGUGGAAAGUAUUACAGAAUGAACGGAAGCGUGAUACAACAGCGCCGCGUUCGGAAAGACGUCCUUCGAGUUAUGAACCUAUUUCUCCUGUAACGAGGCGUGAUUGACGGUAAUUAAUAAGAAAGCACCGGCUAACUACGUG
rnacentral:rRNA from 1 species